rnacentral:misc_RNA from 1 species
GGCGAAUUGUGUAACUUAUGGCCAUCUUAUACUUGGUUUUUGCAAGGAAGGUAAAUUGGAAGAGGCGAAGAGUAUGUUCCAGAAGAUGGUUCAUAGUGGUUUGAAACCGGAUGCUGAAUGCUAUUUUACGUUAGUGUAUUAUUUGUGUCAAGGUGGGGAUUUUGAAGCUGCAUUGGAGAUGUAUAAAAAAUGUUUGGCUGAUGGAUGGGUUCCGAAUUUCUCCUCCAUGAAGUCUCUUGUUGAGGGAUUGGCUAGCAUUUCAAAGGUUGAUGAAGCACGGGAAGUCAUAGCUCAAGUGAAGGAGAAGAUAUCAAGAAACGUCGAGAAGUGGAAUGACAUUGAAGAGGCAUUGCCCAAGUAGGAAGAGAAAAUAAACAUGGUAUACUAGAGUUUUCUGGUUGCAGCAAUGCCCAUGAUCGUAAUAAAGUGAAAAAUUCAACUUG